GAUAUUGGAUGAACCAUAAGCCUGUUUCUCUCCUGACAUCUAAUUAUAUUCAGAUAUUAAUGCUUGUAUUCCUCUCUUUAUGGAAUUUCAAGUUUGGCUAUUCUGUUACAUUC
rnacentral:snoRNA from 1 species